UUACGGCCAUAUCGCGUCGAAACACCAGUUCUCGUAUGAUCACCAAACCCAAGCAACGUCGAGCCUGGUCAGUAUCUAGAACGGGUGACCGCUUGGGAAUAUCAGGUACUGUAAG